UAAAAAGCAAAAUAAGGGCGCACGAUGGAUGCCUUGACGUAAAGUGCCGAAGAAGGACGCAGCAGGGUGCGAUAAGCCUCGGGUAGCUACCAAGCAAGCUAUGAUCCGGGGAUUUCCGAAUGGGGAAACCUAUCUCAAGUCAUGUUGAGAUGAUCCGAACUGAAUUCAUAGGUUUGGAGACGGCAACUACCGGAACUGAAACAUCUUAGUACGGUAAGGAAAAGAAAUUAACCAAGAUUCUCUGAGUAGCGGCGAGCGAAAGGGGAGAAGCCUAAACUUAUCUUUUUUCCUAUAAUUAUCUAGAUUCUGUCUAGAUAAUCAGUAGGUUUAGUCACUAAUAAAAGGAAAGGGUUGUGAGAUGUAGACCAUCAGUCAGUUGACCUCAAGUGAUUGAGUUUAGCUGACUAAUGCUUGUCAUUGACUGAUGACAAAUAGGGUUACAAAAUAUUUAUAUAGUAGAAGGUGCCUGGAAAGGACCACCAUAGAGCGUGAAAGUCGCGUAAACGAAAUAUACUUAUCCCUUUGUCUACAAAGGACUGACAUCUGUGAUAGCUUGCUAUCAUAAAUGUCAGGAAGUCUCAAGUAGGACGGGGCACGGGAAACCUUGUCUGAAGCUGGGGGGACCACCCUCCAAGGCUAAAUACACUUUACGAUCGAUAGUGAACGAGUACCGUGAGGGAAAGGUGAAAAGAACCCCGGAAGGGGAGUGAAAUAGAAUCUGAAAUCCUGCGCUUACAAUGAGUCGGAGCUUCUAAUCAUUUAUGGUUAUUAGUGACGGCGUGCUUUUUGCAUAACGAUCCAGCGAGUUAAUUUAUAUGGCUAGGUUAAGUUUUAAAAACGGAGCCGAAGCGAAAGCGAGUCUUAACCAGGCGAAUAAGUCAUAUGAAUUAGACCCGAAACCAGGUGAGCUAACCAUGGGCAGGCUGAAGUACCAGUAACAUGGUAUGGAGGGCCGAACCAGGGAGUGUUGCAAAACUCUUGGAUGACCUGUGGUUAGAGGUGAAAUGCUAAUCGAACCUGGAGAUAGCUGGUUCUCCCCGAAAUAGCUUUAGGGCUAGCGUUGUAAACUAUUAUAUGGGGGUAGAGCACUGAAUGGGUUUUGGGCCCACAUUAGGGUACCAAGUCCAAUCAAACUCCGAAUACCAUAUAAACUAUUGCAGCAGUUAGAAAUAGGGAGCUAAGUUCCUGUUUCGAAAGGGAAACAGCCCAGAUCGUCGUCUAAGGUCCCAAAAUUUGUACUAAGUGGAAAACGAAGUGAAAUUGCACAGACAACCAGGAUGUUGGCUUAGAAGCAGCCAUUCAUUUAAAGAGUGCGUAAUAGCUCACUGGUCAAUUGUAGCUUUGCACGGAAAAUAUAACGGGGCUAAGUACAGUACCGAAGACACGACUAUUUGCGUAAGCAAAUGGGGUAGGGGAGCGUUCUAUCAGCGUUGAAGUUGAACCGUAAGGUUUGGUGGAGUGGAUAGAAGUGAGAAUGCUGGAAUGAGUAACAGAAAGGCAAGUGAGAAUCUUGCCCACCGAAAGACCAAGGUUUCCUAAGCAAUGAUGAUCAGCUUAGGGUUAGUCGGGCCUAAGCCGAGGCGAAUAGCGUAGGCGAUGGACAACAGGUUAAUAUUCCUGUACCGGUAAUAUCUUGUCAGAUUAAGACACGGCUUGGAAGUCGAAGCAGCUUAUUGGAUUGCUGUCUAAGCAUGCUAUACAUGCGAGUGAAACGGUUGAUCUUUGAUUGACUGGAUUUCGGCGUACUAGCUGGCUAGAAAAUUAAUUUGGCUUAUGGAUAUUGCCGACCGUACCGCAAACUGACACAGGUGGUCAGGUCGAGUAGACCAAGGUGGACGAGUGGACCUUCGUUAAGGAACUCGGCAACAAGAGCGGCCGUAACUUCGGGAUAAGGCCUCCCGGCUUGUUUACAAGUCGGGCGCAGUAAAAGAGCCCAUGCAACUGUUUAUUAAAAACACAGGUCUGUGCUAAAGCGAAAGCUGAUGUAUACAGGCUGACGCCUGCCCGGUGCUGGAAGGUUAAGGGGAGAGGUUCACGCCUUGAACUUAAGCCCCAGUGAACGGCGGCAGUAACUAUAACUGUCCUAAGGUAGCGAAAUUCCUUGUCGGGUAAGUUCCGACCUGCACGAAUGGCGCAAUGAUGUGGGCACUGUCUCAACGAAGGACUCGGUGAAAUUGCAUUAGCGGUAAAGAUGCCGUUUACCCACACCAAGACAAAAAGACCCUGUGCAGCUUUACUACAGUUUGGCAUUGAGUCUGGCUUUAUUAUGUGUAGGAUAGGUGGGAGACUAUGAAGUCGCGAUGCUAGUCGCGAUCGAGUCACUGGUGGAAUACCACCCUUAAUACAGCUUGGCUCUCACCUCUGCCUUUAACUGAUUUAAAGAUUAGUUUAUAUUAGACAAUAUUUUUAAGUUAGUUACAGGUAGAGGGACCGUGUCUGAUGGGUAGUUUAACUGGGGCGGUUGCCUCCUAAAGAGUAACGGAGGCGUUCAAAGGUUGACUAGGUAUGGAUGGAAAUCAUACUGAUAGUGUAAACGCAUUUAAGUCAGCUUGACUGCGAGGACUACAAUCCAAGCAGGUGCGAAAGCAGGAGUUAGUGACCCACUGUAUAAGUGUGGAAUUAACAGUGCUCAACGGAUAAAAGUUACGCCAGGGAUAACAGGCUUAUAGCGCCCAAUAGUUCACAUAGACGGCGCUGUUUGGCACCUCGAUGUCGGCUCAUCCCAUCCUGGAGGGGAAGCACCUUCCAAGGGUUUGGCUGUUCGCCAAUUAAAGGGGUACGCGAGCUGGGUUAAGAACGUCGUGAGACAGUUCGGUCCGUAUCUGGUGUGGGCGUUUGGAAACUUGAGAAGAGUUGCUCCUAGUACGAGAGGACCGGAGUGAACGAGCCUCUAGUGUAUCAGUUGUCAUGCCAAUGGCAUUGCUGAGUAGCUAUGCUCGGAAAGGAUAAGCGCUGAAAGCAUAUAAGCGCGAAGCCUCCUUCAAGAUUAGGUUUCCCCAUUAGACUCCAUGUAGAUAACGUGGUUGAUAGGUACCAAGUGUAAGUGCUGUGAGGCAUUGAGCUGAGGUAUACUAAUAGUCGAUUGGCUUUUUACA
rnacentral:rRNA from 1 species